CCAACGCAUGAUGACGACCCCAAGACAACGACUCACGACUCACGACUAAAAGGAACUCAAAGAGGAUUGAGAUAGGUUAGAAAAAAAAAGGAAUAAAGGAUAAUGAAAUAAUAAAUACGUUAAGUUAGAAAAUUUGUUAGGAAUUCAGGAAUAUUUUAAUUCAGGUUAAGUAAAAAAAGAAAUUACUUACGAAUAAAUUAAUAAGAAAGAAAGAAA